ACGAGUACAGCUUGGGAGACAGAGCAGCGGGUGCUAACGUCCGGACUCAAGAGGGAAACAACCCAGACCGCCAGCUAAGGUCCCUAAAAUUGGCUAAGUGGGAAACGAAGUGGGAAGGCUAAAACAGUCAGGAUGUUGGCUUAGAAGCAGCCAUCAUUUAAAGAAAGCGUAAUAGCUCACUGAUCGAGUCGUCCUGCGCGGAAGAUGUAACGGGGCUAAGCCAGUUACCGAAGCUGCGGAUGUGCAAUUUAUUGUACGUGGUAGGAGAGCGUUCUGUAGGCCUGUGAAGGUGUCUGGUAAUGGAUGCUGGAGGUAUCAGAAGUGCGAAUG
rnacentral:rRNA from 1 species